CAACCUGCCCACCACUUGGGGAUAACCUUGCGAAAGUAAGACUAAUACCCAAUGACGUCUCUAGAAGACAUCUGAAAGAGAUUAAAGAUUUAUCGGUGAUGGAUGGGGAUGCGUCUGAUUAGCUUGUUGGCGGGGUAACGGCCCACCAAGGCGACGAUCAGUAGGGGUUCUGAGAGGAAGGUCCCCCACAUUGGAACUGAGACACGGUCCAAACUCCUACGGGAGGCAGCAGUGAGGAAUAUUGGUCAAUGGACGAGAGUCUGAACCAGCCAAGUAGCGUGCAGGAUGACGGCCCUAUGGGUUGUAAACUGCUUUUAUAAGGGAAUAAAGUGAGUCUCGUGAGGCUUUUUGCAUGUACCUUAUGAAUAAGGACCGGCUAAUUCCGUGCCAGCAGCCGCGGUAAUACGGAAGGUCCGGGCGUUAUCCGGAUUUAUUGGGUUUAAAGGGAGCGUAGGCCGGAGAUUAAGCGUGUUGUGAAAUGUAGAUGCUCAACAUCUGCACUGCAGCGCGAACUGGUUUCCUUGAGUACGCACAAAGUGGGCGGAAUUCGUGGUGUAGCGGUGAAAUGCUUAGAUAUCACGAAGAACUCCGAUUG
rnacentral:rRNA from 1 species